UACGAAGGGGCUAGCGUUGCUCGGAAUCACUGGGUCGUAAAGCGCACGUAGGCGGGUUGCUAAGUCAGGGUGAAAUCCUGGAGCUCAACUCCAGAACUGCCUUGAUACUGGCGGCCUUGAGUCCGGAAGGGCGAGUGGAAGUUCUGGUGUAGCGGUGGAAAUGACGCAGAGUAUCGGAGGAACACCGGUGGCGAAGGCGGU
rnacentral:rRNA from 1 species